rnacentral:rRNA from 1 species
GGCGUGCCUAAACAUGCAAGUAGAACGCUGAAGGAAGGAGCUUGCUCUUUCCGGAUGAGUUGCGAACGGGUGAGUAACGCGUAGGUAACCUGCCUGGUAGCGGGGGAUAACUAUUGGAAACGAUAGCUAAUACCGCAUAACAGUAGAUAUCGCAUGAUAUUCUGCUUGAAAGGUGCAAAUGCACCACUACCAGAUGGACCUGCGUUGUAUUAGCUAGUUGGUGAGGUAACGGCUCACCAAGGCAACGAUACAUAGCCGACCUGAGAGGGUGAUCGGCCACACUGGGACUGAGACACGGCCCAGACUCCUACGGGAGGCAGCAGUAGGGAAUCUUCGGCAAUGGACGGAAGUCUGACCGAGCAACGCCGCGUGAGUGAAGAAGGUUUUCGGAUCGUAAAGCUCUGUUGUAAGAGAAGAACGAGUGUGAGAGUGGAAAGUUCACACUGUGACGGUAUCUUACCAGAAAGGGACGGCUAACUACGUGCCAGCAGCCGCGGUAAUACGUAGGUCCCGAGCGUUGUCCGGAUUUAUUGGGCGUUAAGCGAGCGCACGCGGUUAUAUAAGUCUGAA